rnacentral:rRNA from 1 species
GACGAACGCUGGCGGCGUGCUUAACACAUGCAAGUCGAACGGAAAGGCCCUGCUUUUGUGGGGUGCUCGAGUGGCGAACGGGUGAGUAACACGUGAGUAACCUGCCCUUGACUUUGGGAUAACUUCAGGAAACUGGGGCUAAUACCGGAUAGGAGCUCCUGCUGCAUGGUGGGGGUUGGAAAGUUUCGGCGGUUGGGGAUGGACUCGCGGCUUAUCAGCUUGUUGGUGGGGUAGUGGCUUACCAAGGCUUUGACGGGUAGCCGGCCUGAGAGGGUGACCGGGCAAAAGUGGGAAAGAUAGAGGACCAGGGCGCAGCGGGGGGCAGGAGGGGGGAAAUAGGCACGAGGGGGGGGGGGCUGGAGCCCGAAGGCCCGGGGGGGGAAGGGGGGCUGGGGGUGGUAAACCCGGUUGCGCCUGUAAGGAAGGGGGAGGAAGGGUAAGGGAAAAAAAAACCCGGGAAAACGAGGGC